UACGUAGGGCGCAAGCGUAUCCGGAAUUAUUGGGCGUAAAGAGCUCGUAGGCGGUUUGUCGCGUCUGCCGUGAAAGUCCGGGGCUCAACUCCGGAUCUGCGGUGGGUACGGGCAGACUAGAGUGAUGUAGGGGAGACUGGAAUUCCUGGUGUAGCGGUGAAAUGCGCAGAUAUCAGGAGGAACACCGAUGGCGAAGGCAGGUCUCUGGGCAGUAACUGACGCUGAGGAGCGAAAGCGUGGGGAGCGAACAGG
rnacentral:rRNA from 1 species